rnacentral:lncRNA from 1 species
AUUCUUUUGAAAGAGCUAAUUUCAUGUAUUUUAUUUAAUGAAAGCUUAUUUAAGAUUUUAAUGAUGUGGGCCUUUCUCUUCAGCAGAAUGCCAUAUUGACUCAUGACAUAUUUUUACACAGGCUUCAUUCUGCCGUGAACAACAGUGGUUGGAAAUGAGAAGGGAACAUCAAGAUUUUGACAGAGAACACGCGAGAAAGGGAAGGAGGCAGCCUCUAGUCCUGAAUAAUUGAAAAGGAAGAUUCUUCAAGCUUGAUCAUCUAUGAAUGGGAGGAAGUAAUAAAAAAGAAAUGGAAGCUUACA